UUUAAACUCGUAAUCAGUGACGUGCCGAAAUUAUUUCGUCGCGUGCCAGCAAUGGCACGCGUGCCAUUGGUUCGCCAUCCCUGGUUUAGGCCAUAAUUGAUUGGUUUUAAAAUGUAAUU